UACAGAGGGUGCGAGCGUUAAUCGGAAUUACUGGGCGUAAAGCGUGCGUAGACGGUUAUUUAAGUCGGGUGUGAAAGCCCCGGGCUCAACCUGGGAAUUGCAUUCGAGACUGAAUAGCUAGGGUACGGUAGAGGGAAGUGGAAUUUCCGGUGUAGCGGUGAAAUGCGUAGAUAUCGGAAGGAACAUCAGUGGCGAAAGCGACUUCCUGGACCGGUACCGACGUUCAGGCACGAAAGCGUGGGGAGCAAACAGG
rnacentral:rRNA from 1 species